GCCGGGCAUGGUGGCACAUGCCUGUAAUCCCAACUACUUGGGAGGCUGAGGCAGGAGAAUCACUUGAACCUGGGAGGCAGAGGUUGCAGUGAGCUGAGAUUGUGCCACUGCACUCAAGCCUGGGUGACAGAGUGAGACUCUGUCUCAA
rfam:Homo sapiens chromosome 15 genomic contig, GRCh38 reference assembly alternate locus group ALT_REF_LOCI_2.